rnacentral:rRNA from 1 species
ACGAACGCUGGCGGCGUGCUUAACACAUGCAAGUCGAACGGAAAGGCCCUGCUUGCAGGGUACUCGAGUGGCGAACGGGUGAGUAACACGUGGGUGAUCUGCCCUGCACUUCGGGAUAAGCCUGGGAAACUGGGUCUAAUACCGGAUAGGAGCCAUUUUUAGUGUGAUGGUUGGAAAGUUUUUUCGGUGUAGGAUGAGCUCGCGGCCUAUCAGCUUGUUGGUGGGGUAAUGGCCUACCAAGGCGGCGACGGGUAGCCGGCCUGGGAGGGUGGACGGCCACAAUGGGACUGAGAGACGGCCCAGACGCCCACGGGGGGCAGGCGUGGGGAAUAUUGGCCAAGGGGCGGAAGCCUGGUGCAGCGGAGGCGGGGGGGGGAUGACGGCCUUCGGGUUGUAAACUCCUUUCGCUAGGGACGAAGCUUUUUGUGACGGUACCUAGAUAAGAAGCACCGGCUAACUACGUG